rnacentral:rRNA from 1 species
AAGGUGGAUUUGCUAGUAAUUAAUUUUAAUUAAUGUUUAAUGAAAUAUGAAAUGAUUUGUGUACAUAUCGCCCGUCGCUCUCAUUUAUAAGUGAGAUAAGUCGUAACAUAGUUGAUAUACUGGAAAGUGUAUCUUUUAUUAUAACUUAAU